rnacentral:rRNA from 1 species
AGUGAACGCUGGCGGUAGGCCUAACACAUGCAAGUCGAACGGCAGCACAGUAAGAGCUUGCUCUUACGGGUGGCGAGUGGCGGACGGGUGAGGAAUACAUCGGAAUCUACUUUUUCGUGGGGGAUAACGUAGGGAAACUUACGCUAAUACCGCAUACGACCUACGGGUGAAAGCAGGGGAUCUUCGGACCUUGCGCGAUUGAAUGAGCCGAUGUCGGAUUAGCUAGUUGGCGGGGUAAAGGCCCACCAAGGCGACGAUCCGUAGCUGGUCUGAGAGGAUGAUCAGCCAAACUGGAACUGAGACACGGUCCAGACUCCUACGGGAGGCAGCAGUGGGGAAUAUUGGACAAUGGGCGGAAGCCUGAUCCAGCCAUACCGCGUGGGUGAAGAAGGCCUUCGGGUAGUAAAGCCCUUUUGUUGGGAAAGAAAAGCAGCAGGUUAAUACCCCGCUGUUCUGACGGUACCCAAAGAAUAAGCACCGGCUAACUUCGUG